GGGGUUUUGGCUCAACUUGGUAGAGCGUCAGGCUCCAGCACAUCGUGCAUGGAACGUUGAUUUCAAGAUGAUAUGAAGAAACCUGAAGGUUGGGGGUUCAAAUCCCUCAGACCCCA
rnacentral:tRNA from 1 species